rnacentral:tRNA from 1 species
UCCUCACUAGCUCAACGGCAGAGCAACGAGCUGUUAACUCGUGGGUUCCUAGUUCGAAUCUAGGGUGGGGAGCGA